GUUUUGAAUUCGCGGGAAACGCGCGGUUGAGUCCUGGUGUUGUUGCUCCCGCCAUAUGUUGCAGUUUCGCGAGACUGGUGCGUCCACAAUCUGUGUGGGGAGGCAGCUGCGUCUUCAAGACUAAAAAUGGAGUUGGGUAGUGUAUGCCUAUAUUGAUGGUCCAGUGGCAAUCAGCUUGUCAGGUACAAGAACUUUAGGACGAAGUUAAAUUGCAGGUUCGUUGGAGAUCAACUUCUCAAGUAAAAACUUUGGAACGUAGACAAGAGUCUAAUAUUUGCUCCGGCAAAUACUGUCUCCAAACUUGACGGGUGAUCGGGUGCUGUAUUGAUGUAUGCCUAUGGACAAAAACCAUUGUAGUAGUGUCCGUGACUAUAUUCUUUAAUUAUAUACAUUAUUUUUUCAAAUUUUUUAUACCCAAAAUGUUUGGCAACUUUGCCCUUAACACGAGGUACAAGGGUAACAAACUGAUCGAAAAUAAAUGUUCCCUCUGUCUCGUAAUGCUUACGGAAACGUUGCACCGUAAUUAGAUAACCUGUUGGCUAGCAAAAAUGGCUACGUAUGUAAAGUAUGGUUUAUUUAAAUCGAUAUAGUGUUAGAUACAAAAUCUUGUAGGUAAAGCUAAUGUGGAGGCUUAUCGUUGGUCUGGAGUAAAUUUGACAUUUGUUGUCCGGUAAAAAAAAUCUUGAGCUUUGGUUCUUGCAUAAGCUCGCAAAGGAUUAAAUCCAUAUUCCGGUUAAUGAAGAGUUACUCCAUCUAUGCCUAAUAGUGCUUUAGGUCACGUGGUUAUGGUCCAUAUUUCCAUUACAUACCGGAAUAAGCACUAUCAAGGAACUUGCAUGCAUUAAUUAUCAGUCUUUGGUAGUUGUUAAACUUUACUUUGAGCAAUUUUGGAAGUCGAAAUGGAUCUAUUCAUGGAGAAGAAUGUUAGUUACUAUGUUAGUUCUUUUUUUUUUUUGGGUGGGGGUUGGGUGAGUACUGGUUGAAAUUAAGGGUAAUUUUGGCGUCUUCUUUUCGGCCAUUCAAAAUAAAUUUGUAAUCACGUCGACUUGGGUAAUUUAAGGCAUUUUAUUUCUCUAGAAGUCUUGAAUGAAUCUUUUUACCAUAGAGCAAACAAGUGAUUAAUGUUGUAAUUGAGUCAACAUGAUGGCUUUCCUACUGUGAUGAAACUUUACUCGGCAAACGCGUUGGCUUGAAGAUAUUACAUAUUAUGAAAUGCUAAACUACUAAUUGAUAGCAUUUUCAUGGGUGAAAUAAAGCCACUGAGUAGGAGUGCGUGAAAGUCGGAAAUUUGCAGAGUAGUGUAAAGAAGGCUACGGCAGAAACACAGGCUAAUGUAAUGUCAGCGAAAUGAUGUACGGGAACAAUAUUCUGUGGCAAAGACACUGCCUGCUGUAGUUUAUAGAACGGGUUGUCAGUGGUUGGAUUUGUAAAUUGUUUAAAGAGACUGAAAGCAAAUUAAGGGUACUGUAGGUGGAGAAAUAUGUGGUAGGACUAAUUAUCGAACAACGCUUCAGCGGAGGGUUUCUUAUGUGGCGAGUGUUUCUACACAGGGAUGCAA